rnacentral:rRNA from 1 species
AUUGAACGCUGGCGGCAGGCCUAACACAUGCAAGUCGAGCGGAGCGGCGGACGGGUGAGUAAUGCCUAGGAAUCUGCCUGGUAGUGGGGGAUAACGUCCGGAAACGGGCGCUAAUACCGCAUCCUAUCAGAUGCGCCUAAGUCGGAUUAGCUAGUUGGUGGGGUAAAGGCCUACCAAGGCGACGAUCUGUAGCGGGUCUGAGAGGAUGAGCCGCCAAAAUGGGACUGGGACACGGCCAAGACUCCUAAGGGAGGCAGCAGUGGGGAAUUUUGGACAAUGGGGGGAACCCUGAUCCAGCCAUGCCGCGUGUGUGAAGAAGGGCUUAUGGUUGGAAAGCACUUUAAGCGAGGAGGCGUUACUCGCAGAAUAAGCACCGGCUAACUCUGUGCCAGCAGCCGCGGUAAUUC